rnacentral:rRNA from 1 species
UACGUAGGGGGCAAGCGUUAUCCGGAUUUACUGGGUGUAAAGGGAGCGUAGACGGAUGGACAAGUCUGAUGUGAAAGGCUGGGGCUCAACCCCGGGACUGCAUUGGAAACUGCCCGUCUUGAGUGCCGGAGAGGUAAGCGGAAUUCCUAGUGUAGCGGUGAAAUGCGUAGAUAUUAGGAGGAAUACCAGUGGCGAAGGCGGCUUACUGGACGGUAACUGACGUUGAGGCUCGAAAGCGUGGGGAGCAAACAGG